rnacentral:lncRNA from 1 species
UUUCUCUUCUUCACUGUUUACUCUAUUUUUUUUGGAAAUAUCAAUAUUUUUUUACCUGUCAGUGUGCUUAAGUAUUAUUCUAGCGAAACGGACAAGUCCUGUGAUAUCUGCAUUUCCUAGACUUUCACAAAGGCAUACCAGGCCUUUCAGCUAUGAGCACUGGAGUUCUGUACCCUGCACUCUGCCUCAUAAACUUGUUGAUAACUUUCAUUGGUGAAUCCUUUUAUUCCUGAAAUUCCUAAUAGUACUUAAUUUUGUACACUGGAGAACUCUUCCCCACCUUGUGUUAUGUAUGUGCAUGUUCAUAGGGUAAUUCUUGAAGCCUGUUCUCAGGCAAGCAUCUCAUUUAAAAAUGUGGCUCAUUUUUGUAGGCUAAAGAUUGUAAGAACUGGCCUUAUUUACAUAUCAUAUGAAAGUAUCAUUCUGGCUUUAGUUUUAUUUUUGUCAUAUCCCUGAUAUCCAUAUCAAGGGACUUAGGUAUGACUGCAUUUUAUGUCCUUCGCUCAUAGCGUCACAUGUGUUGGACAUGUUUGCUAUUGUUUUUAAGAUGUGUGUCUGUUACUGCAUUUAGGGGCCACAAGGCAAGCCUGGCCUUCCUGGCCUUCCCGGUUCUGAUGGGCCUCCUGGUCACCCUGGGAAAGAGGGUCAGUCUGGGGAUAAAGGUGCAUUGGGGCCUCCAGGUCCUCAGGGUCCUAUUGGAUAUCCAGGUCCUCGUGGUGUAAAGGUAAGAUUUAAUUAUUGAAUUCCUCCUCUCACAUCUUUUGAAUAUAUGCAUGUGGGUAAUUCUUUAUAUUUUUCCUUUAGGGUGCUGAUGGUGUACGUGGACUCAAGGGAUCCAAAGGUGAAAAGGGUGAAGAUGGUUUUCCAGGAUUUAAAGGUGACAUGGGUCUUAAAGGUGACCGGGGAGAAAUUGGUCAGCCAGGUCCACGAGGAGAAGAUGGCCCAGAAGGUCCAAAAGGUCGAUCAGGUCCAUCUGGAGACCCAGGUGCUGCUGGUCCAGCUGGGGAAAAGGUCAGUAGCCAGAAAUCAACAUAAUCAUGCCAUUGCCUCAUAACAUAGAUGUAACCCAUAAUCUUCAUCACU